AUUUAACGCUGGCGGCAGGCCUAACACAUGCAAGUCGAACGAGUAGCGGACGGGUGAGUAAUGUCUGGGAAACUGCCUGAUGGAGGGGGAUAACUACUGGAAACGGUAGCUAAUACCGCAUACCAUCGGACGUUCCCAGAUGGGAUUAGCUACUGGGUGGGGUAACGGCUCACCUAGGCGACGAUCCCUAGCUUGUAUUCGAGGAGGACCAGCCACGCUGGAACUUAGACACGGUCCAGACUCCUAAGGGAGGCAGCAGUGGGGAAUAUUGCACAAUGGGCGCAAGCCUGAUGCAGCCAUGCCGCGGGUAUGAAGAAGGCCUUCGGGUUGUAAAGUACUGUCAGCGGGGAGGCGUUACCCGCAGAAGAAGCACCGUCUAACUCCGUGCCAGCAGCCGCGGUAAUUC
rnacentral:rRNA from 1 species